rnacentral:rRNA from 1 species
UGCUAAUACCGCAUAAGCGCACAGCAUCGCAUGAUGCAGUGCGACAAGUUCUUCGGUACAAGAUGGACCCGCGUAUGAUAAGCUAGUUGCUGAGGUAACGGCCCACCAAGGCGACGAUCAGUAGCCGACCUGAGAGGGUGACCGGCCACAUUGGGACUGAGACACGGCCCAAAAUCCUACGGGAGGCAGCAGUGGGGAAUAUUGCACAAUGGGCGCAAGCCUGAUGCAGCGACGCCGCGUGAGCGAAGAAGUAUUUCGGUAUGUAAAGCUCUAUCAGCAGGAAAGAUAAUGACGGUACCUGACUAAGAAGCCCCGGCUAACUACGUGCCAGCAGCCGCGGUAAUACGGAGGGUGCAAGCGUUAAUCGGAAUUACUGGGCGUAAAGCGCACGCAGGCGGUUUGUUAAGUCAGAUGUGAAAUCCCCGGGCU